rnacentral:rRNA from 1 species
CCUACGGGUGGCAGCAGUCGAGAAUCAUUCACAAUGGGGGAAACCCUGAUGGUGCGACGCCGCGUGGGGGAAUGAAGGUCUUCGGAUUGUAAACCCCUGUCAUGUGGGAGCAAAUUAAAAAGAUAGUACCACAAGAGGAAGAGACGGCUAACUCUGUGCCAGCAGCCGCGGUAAUACAGAGGUCUCAAGCGUUGUUCGGAAUCACUGGGCGUAAAGGGUGCGUAGGCUGUUUCGUAAGUCGUGUGUGAAAGGCGCGGGCUCAACCCGCGGACGGCACAUGAUAAUGGGAGACUGGAGUAAUGGAGGGGUAACCGGAAUUCUCGGUGUAGCAGUGAAAUGCGUAGAUAUCGAGAGGAACACUCGUGGCGAAGGCGGGUUCCUGGACAUUAACUGACGCUGAGGCACGAAGGCCAGGGGAGCGAAAGGGAUUAGAUACCCGAGUAGUC